rnacentral:lncRNA from 1 species
UUUAUGUGUUUUAAGUCGAAAUACCUGAACUUCAAGCCCAGUUUGCCCUUUCCUACCCUUGAGAUCUGAGUCAAAUCACAUCGCCCAGCAGACAACUCUGCAACAGCCUGCAUUGAGUAGCCAGGUAUGUGAAUCAUGCUCAAGGCCAACUAUGAUGCAGGAAUUCAGAAUCCAAUAGAGAAGUGUUAAGGUCCAUUUCAUACUUCUUUAUCUUUGACUCUCAAAGGUGUAACGCAACACCUGGAACUUAGCAGAUAUUUGGUAAUCUAUUCUCACAUUAAGUUAAUUUCUGAAACACCCUACAUGAUAGCUAUUGCCCCAGACUUCUAAUAAUUAACCCAGGGUGUCCUCUCUCAAACAUCCUGUGAAAUAGUCUCCAUCUACAAUUUCUAGGGUUUCAGAUGAGCCUUACAUGGAGUAAGCUGAAGAGCCUGGGAAGACUCCUCUGUUCCAAUAUGUCUUUACUGCUUAAGUGUUAAAGGUCCCAGAAUCCCAUCAUGAGAGUCCAGUUCCUUUGUAUGUUUAGACUAUAACAGAGCCAUGUGCCACAGAGAGGAGUACAGGCUGGAAAGCUGAGUGGUCAGAAAGAUAAUUGGAUGAAAGAGGUCCCCGGUGUGCCAGAAAGAUCUCUCCAGCAAGCCAUAGUUCAGAUAAUAGAGAAAAUUAAAAUCGGUGACCUUCUGUGGAAGGUGAACUGAUUCAUCCCUCUCUUCCCAGCAAUUUCAGAAUUAACUGACAUAGAGCCAUGGAUAGAGAGCUGGUUGUGCAAUGACUACAAGGUCUCAAAAGCAGCAACUGCAGCAGAAGGACAGAGAUGGCAAUUCCACCAAGAAGGAUUAGGAAGGAUUUUUUUUUUACUGCAAAGUAAUGCCACCUCCAGGUUACCAGAUGGGGUGAGGGGUUACUCAGAAGCCAAGGCAGCUAAAGAAUUAUAAAUCUCUAUAUAAUUCUGAUAUCCAGAUAGUAAAGAAUUUUUAGUCUAUGAGACUUCUAAAUAGCACUCUGUGGCAGGAGCACAUCUCCCUUGGCUCAGAUAUACCCAGGAGAAACCAACAGCCUACUCAAGUCUGCCUGCUUCCCAAGAGUCCUCACUCAAUCCUGCUUAUCUUUUUGGCCAACCUCCAACUCUCUGGAAUUUGACCUCAGGACUUCUUGGAGGUGAUUGGAUGGCUGUUUUUACCUUCUAGUGACCCACUCACUCCUCAGCCUUUAUCAUCUGACUUCCCAGCCUGCCUAUGUGUUUUUUACCCUGUUCACAACACGGCAAUGCUGGAGAGCCCUACAUAGUCAGCAGACCCAUGCUACAGAGGGUUUGAGGAACUCUUCCAAGGACACACAGCCAUUCCCUCCUUCCUCCCCUAUAACAAUGCAAGUGCACAUUCAUUUUCUUACAUUUUAAAUCACUGAAC